rnacentral:rRNA from 1 species
UACGGGGGGGGCAAGCGUUGUUCGGAAUUACUGGGCGUAAAGGGCUCGUAGGCGGCCAACUAAGUCAGACGUGAAAUCCCUCGGCUUAACCGGGGAACUGCAUCUGAUACUGGAUGGCUUGAGUUCGGGAGAGGGAUGCGGAAUUCCAGGUGUAGCGGUGAAAUGCGUAGAUAUCAGGAAGAACACCCGUGGCUAAGGCGGCUCUCUAGUACGGUACUGACGCUGAGACGCGAAAGCUAGGGGAGCAAACGGG